rnacentral:rRNA from 1 species
MGCUUAAAGAAUACGUYUUAGGUGUAAUCUGCUCAGUGUUAAGAUUUAUAUAAAUAGCCGCGGUACUUUGACCGUGCAAAGGUAGCAUAAUAAGUUGGCCUUUAAAUGGGGUCGGGUAUGAAUGAAAGAACGUAGCUAAGCUGUCUCAUAACUAUUUUAUCGAAUUUACUGUAUAGAUGAAAAAGUCUAUAGAAAUAUAAAAGACGAGAAGACCCUCAGAAUUUAAGUGAUAUUAAAAAAGUUUUUAGAAUAUUUUUGUUGGGGCGACAAGGAAACAAAUUGAACUUUCUUAAACUAAUAAGACGAUUAUUAUAAGUGAGAAUAAAUUACCUGAGGGAUAACAGCAUAAUUUAAAAAAUGAGUUUGUGACCUCGAUGUUGGACUAGGAAAUUGAUAGAUUAGCCGUUUAUUACAUAGGUUCUGUUCGAACUAUUUUUCCU